GGGUAUAUAACAAUAAAAUAUGAAAGGGACAAAUUAUAAGAAAAAAAAAAAAAACUGUAAGUAUGAUACAGUUUCAAUGCUAGUUAACAAGAAUUCAAGAGGAGUUAUUAAAUUUUGAGAUUCCGUUGUUAUUGGUUUAUGGAUUUUUAAAAUUUAAUUAGAAUCCAUUGUUAUUGGGAUGAUGACUUUUAAAUUCUACUCAAAAUCUUUUGUUAUUGGAAAAGUUUAGUUUUCAUUGAUUUUAAGAUUCUAUUAAAAUCUAUUGUUAUUGGGAUGUAAAUUCUCUUUUUUUUUACUCAUAAGACUAAACUUUGAGAAUAUCAUCUAUACCCAUAAGAUUUUUGAAAUCUAUGCAAUAAAAUACACUCGCAUACAAAAACACACAAAAUUGAACAAUGAAAUAAUACAAAUCACAACUUUAACAUAAAUUAGAAAACAAAUAUUAAAAAUUUAAUAAAAGUAAAAAAAAUAAAAUAGUUUUAAAAAGUAUUUUCGAAAUUCAAAAAUAAUUAAAAAAAAAACAAUUUGAAAAAAAGUCGAAAACUUUUAUAUAAAAAGUUCAAAUUUAAAACCAUAUAUUUUUAUAAAAAAUAACUUUUAUUUAUAUAUCUAUAUAUUAAAAAGGUACAAUGACAUUUUGUCUUUUUAAUAAUUGAAAUGAUUCUUUUUUCUUUUCUCCUAUUAUACCAUUAAUUCUUACUUUAAAAGUUAAUAACAAUCAAUAUAAUUCUAUACACAAGUAAUGAAAAUUUAUAGACCACUUGCCUGAUUUAUAAAUUGCGUGAUGCCUGGACGUGAAAUAGGUAAGGAAAAUUAGUGAUGGUCACGCAAAAAAUAUAUCAGAAAUAUUUUCCUAUCGAUUUAGGUAGGUCUUUCAAUUCUUUGAAUUGUGUUUCCUUGAAUACGUUAACAAUUCAAUUGUGUUUCCUUAACAUUUUGAAACAUUAAGUGAUAUGUACAUUAUUAUAAACGAUUUGAUAUUUUUUUUAAGAAAACCGUAAAGAACACUUCCAAAUUUUCGAACAUACCAUAAAGUCUCUCAUAGAAAGGAGUUAAUAUGCUGUCUUAGUUAAAUCUCCAGUUUUUUUUUUAAAUCGGAAUGUAAUCAAGUGUAAAUGACUUACCAUAGACAUAAUCUGGAGGUUAUUUUUGAAAUCCGAAAAUCCAAAAAUCAUAUAGUAUAAUGUAAUGACCAGUGGCAUUUGUUUGUAAUUAUUCUAGUUGUUAAAGAGUUUUUUUUUAAAAGUAAGUGAGCGUGCAUGUGAUAUGAUGACACCUAAAAAAUGACACUCAUGUAAUAAACAUAUAAAGCCAAAAUUUAUUUCUAUCAAUACUCCUCCUUUAAUAAGAAAGAGAUAAUGUAUGCAAAUUAAAUAAUUCAUAGUGUGAAACAGAAAACUAUACAUUUUUUUUUCUCUCGCAUUCCCCAUUUUGUUACAUCAUAA
rnacentral:lncRNA from 1 species